UACGGAGGGUGCGAGCGUUGUCCGGAAUCACUGGGUUUAAAGGGUGUGUAGGCGGGGAUUUAAGUCAGUGGUGAAAUCUCCAGGCUCAACCUGGAGACUGCCAUUGAUACUAUAUAUCUUGAAUUUUGUUGAGGUAGGCGGAAUAUGUCAUGUAGCGGUGAAAUGCAUAGAUAUGACAUAGAACACCAAUUGCGAAGGCAGCUUACUAAGCAAAUAUUGACGCUGAGGCACGAAAGCGUGGGGAUCAAACAGG
rnacentral:rRNA from 1 species